AUGGGCGCAAGCCUGAUGCAGCAACGCCGCGUGAGGGACGAAGGCCUUCGGGUUGUAAACCUCUUUUAGCAGGGAAGAAGCGAAAGUGACGGUACCUGCAGAAAAAGCACCGGCUAACUACGUGCCAGCAGCCGCGGUAGUACGUAGGGUGCAAGCGUUGUCCGGAAUUAUUGGGCGUAAAGAGCUCGUAGGCGGUUUGUCGCGUCUGCUGUGAAAAUCCGAGGCUCAACCUCGGACCUGCAGUGGGUACGGGCAAACUAGAGUGCGGUAGGGGAGAUUGGAAUUCCUGGUGUAGCGGUGGAAUGCGCAGAUAUCAGGAGGAACACCAAGGGCGAAGGCAGAUCUCUGGGCCGUAACUGACGCUGAGGAGCGAAAGCGUGGGGAGCGAACAGGAUUAGAUACCCUGGUAGUCCACGCCGUAAACGGUGGGAACUAGAUGUGGGGUCCGUUCCACGGAUUCCGUGUCGCAGCUAACGCAUUAAGUUCCCCGCCUGGGGAGUACGGCCGCAAGGCUAAAACUCAAAGGAAUUGACGGGGGCCCGCACAAGCGGCGGAGCAUGCGGAUUAAUUCGAUGCAACGCGAAGAACCUUACCAAGGCUUGACAUAUAGAGGAAAAGCGUAGAAAUACGCUCCCCGCAAGGUCUCUAUACAGGUGGUGCAUGGUUGUCGUCAGCUCGUGUCGUGAGAUGUUGGGUUAAGUCCCGCAACGAGCGCAACCCUCGUCCUAUGU
rnacentral:rRNA from 1 species